AAUAUACUCCCUCCGUCCUAAAAUUCUUGUCUUAAAUUUGUCUAGAUACGAAUGUAUCUAAUAUUAAAAUAUGACUUGAUACAUUCAUAUUUAGACAAAUCUAAGACAAAAUUUUUGGGAUGGAGGGAGUAUAUU
rnacentral:pre_miRNA from 1 species